UGGACAUGACUGAAAAAUGACUCAGCAAUAACCACAAAACGUGUGUGUGUGUGUGUGUGUGUGUGUGUGUGUGUGUGUGUGUGUAUGCAAAGAGAUAGGAGGAGUAUGAGACAGACAGUUCUCUGCCUUCUGUAGAGGGCAGACUCUUAACAACAAGGAAAGCAGAGAGGGACAGAGCCAGGAAAGAGUAGAGUGGCCAUAGCUGGGGAUGAGGGAUGGGGAGGGUGGUGGGAAUGGGGAGGAGAAGUUCAGUCCAGGCUGCCUGCGGCUCUGAAUCACCUCGAUCCCCUGGGGAGCCCAUAGAGGGUCACACCCUUCCCCGUUGCCAAGGUGGCACAGGGUGUAGGAGGGAGGGAAGGCCCCAAGCCAUGGACUUCUUCCUGUCCCCCUGCUUCUUUACCACGACCCAUUUGCGCUUUGGGAUCCACGAAGGAAAUCGAGGGCGUUGCUUUCGGGACCCUCUAAACCCGACUUCUUGGGGCAGUAGAGGCCAAGGGCUGAAGCCCGGGUGGCAACGGCUCUGCUCCCCACCCCACCCCCGGAGGGGGCGGCGCCCUUCGGGAGACUGUGUCCUCAGUCCGGAGGAGCUCUCCUGUGGGAGAGCUGACCCUUAAACUUGGCUCACCAGCCGGCAGCUUUUCGGGAUCUGUCCUUUGGGGGCUGCCUCGGCACCUGCCGCUAGCCUAUUCCGGGGCUACAGAUUUCAGCUCAAAGCCCACAGCCCUUCUUCCUUCCUUCCCUGCCUCCCUUCCCCCCAAGGGAGGAGGAAAACAAUCUCCUAGCCCAACCCUUCCACUCUGGGAGGAUUUGGAAACAGCCCCUCCUGCCAAGGAUUUCGUAUUUUCAGAGAUGCUGAAGAAAUGUUCUAAUUCCAAUGAAUCAGUGUUGACAUUGAGAGACUGACUGCCUUCCGCCAACCUCGGGCGCAGGACCCUGGUGGGUUAGAGGAGCUCGGUUGCCUAGGUUUUGCAAGAGACUAGCCCUCGCUCUCUGGCUGAGCUAUGACCAGCGCCCCCUCCCUCCCUUGCCGGGGAGGACAGCUGCCCUCUUCCUUCAUAGGGAAAGGGGGCUUCAGGCAGCAAGAGACACCCCUUUCCAGCCUUCUUGACUUGUCUCAGAGUGGGAGGAGGCUGCUGGUGAGGCCCUGUGCCUGCCUGGUCGUGGUUGCUGUGGGAUGGAGUGAAGCAAGGCUAGGUGCUUCUCAAGUCCACCCAGCACUGAAUGUUACGUAAUCUGCUCAGUAAAAAGAUUCACUAUGCCCCUGUCCUGUUUCCUUACUAAUGCGUCAUACUGGCCUAGGUGUAGAAUGGGGGGGGGGGGGGGUCGGGUCCCUCUGGAUUUCGUCUGUUCAUCCCUCCCUCUCUUUCAUACACACACUUCCCACCUGGGACCUAGCUUCCUUCCUAGAUCUAACCCCCCUCCCCAUCGGACCUCAGUUUCCUCCUAUAUAAAAUGUUGUUUGCCCUAGACAACUUUUAAGGCCCAGCCUUGAUAUUCUCUGUUCUGAAACCUCUCCCAGUUCUAGCAUUCUCUGUUCCAAGGCCUCCUCCAGCUCAGUCUGUGUUCUAGGUUCUAAGUUCCCUUCAGCUCAGACAGUCUCUGUUCUAAAGUCCCUCCCUAUUCUAACAUUCAGCUGUAAAGUUCCUUCCACCUUUGACAGUCUGGGAUUCUGUGUGAGUGAGGCUUCCCAGGAUUGCUGGAAAGACAGGGAACCUGCCACUUCCUUCCCGGUCACUUCCUGGGUUAAGCAGCCCACGGAAGGGCGGCGUGGGAAUGGAAGAAGGAGCUGUGCCUGGUCUGACUGGGGGCACAGACUUUGAGUCAGGUCACUGAGUGGGGAGGGAAAGGUCGAUCGAGGGAAAAGCCUCGAAUCCAGCAGGCGGUGGUAAACCUGGCUCAGCAGAAGGCUGACCCACUCUCCCCAAAGAGCGCUUCACCCCUGCCUCUUCUCAGUCUCAGAGCACUGCUUUCUCCUCUCUGGGUCUUCUUCCUCCCCAGUAAAAUGAGGGGGUUGGACAGGAUGGCCAACCAUGACUGAGUGGAGAUGUACCCAUAAAGGAAAGGUGGACUCAGAGCACAGAGUGGGGCAGCUUUUUGGACACAAAUGGCCAAUGGAGAAAUUUGUGUGACCUGCCGGUAUUUCUACAUUAUCAAAAAACAACAGGAGUGGGGGCGGGGUGAGAUAUUAAACUAACUGGUCGAUAAGUCCAAAAAUAUCAGGAUUGGAGGGAUGUCAUUUAGCCCAAGCUUACUUGAAAAACUUUUGCCUUGGGGAAGUUUGGGACUUUUUUUUUCAUCCUUCCCUAUAAAAUAUCAGAUUGGAGGUUACUGUGGAAAGUAGCUUUAGGAGUUUUUUAGUUGGAUUAAAAAAACAUUGUUCUGAUUGUACCUGUAUAACCUAUAUCAGAUUGCUUGCCAUCUUGGGGAUGGGGGAAGGGAGGGAGGGAGAAAAAUUUGGAGCUCAAAAUCUUGUAAAAAGUGAAUGCUGAAAACUAUCUUUACAUGUAAUUGGAAAAAAUAAAAUUCUAUUAAAAUAUUCUUCA
ensembl:lncRNA